rnacentral:rRNA from 1 species
UACAGAGGUCCCAAGCGUUGUUCGGAUUUACUGGGCGUAAAGGGUGCGUAGGCGGUCGGGUAAGUCCGUGGUGAAAUCUCUGAGCUUAACUCAGAAACUGCCAUGGAUACUAUUUGUCUUGAAUGUUGUGGAGGUAAGCGGAAUAUGUCAUGUAGCGGUGAAAUGCUUAGAUAUGACAUAGAACACCAAUUGCGAAGGCAGCUUACUACACAAAUAUUGACGCUGAGGCACGAAAGCGUGGGGAUCAAACAGG